rnacentral:rRNA from 1 species
CGACCGCUGGCGGUGUGCUUACCACAUGCAAGUCGAACGGGUCUGCCCUGUUUUUUGCGGGGUGGGUCAGUGGCGAACGGGUGAGUAACACGUGAGUAACCUGCCCCUCACUUCUGGAUAACCGCUUGAAAGGGUGGCUAAUACGGGGUGUUCUGGCUGUGCCGCAUGGUGUGGCUGGGAAAGAUUCACUUUUGUGGUGUUUUGGUGGGGGAUGGGCUCGCGGCCUAUCAGCUUGUUGGUGGGGUGAUGGCCUGCCAAGGCUUUGACGGGUAGCCGGCCUGAGAGGGUGGGCGGUCACACUGGGACUGAGAUACGGCCCAGACUCCUGCGGGAGGCAGCAGUGGGGGGUAUUGCACAAUGGGCGGAAGCCUGAUGCAGCGACGUCGCGUGAGGGAUGGAGGCCUUCGGGUUGUGAACCUCUUUCGCCGGUGAAGAAGGUCCUGCUCUUUGUGGUGGGGUUGACGGUAGCCGGGUUAUGAAGCGCCGGCUAACUACGUG